rnacentral:rRNA from 1 species
GACAGAGGGUGCAAACGUUGCUCGGAAUUACUGGGCGUAAAGCGCGUGUAGGCGGUUUCGCAAGUCAGGUGUGAAAGCCCGGAGCUCAACCCCGGAAGUGCACUUGAUACUACGGAGCUGGAGUACUGAAGAGGAGAGCGGAAUUCCCGGUGUAGAGGUGAAAUUCGUAGAUAUCGGGAGGAACACCAGUGGCGAAGGCGGCUCUCUGGGCAGAUACUGACGCUGAGACGCGAAAGCGUGGGUAGCAAACAGG